CCGACUUUAGCUCAGUUGGAAGAGCAUCAGACUGUAAAGGAAAAUUCCCACGGCAUCUGGGUGUCGCCUGUUCGAACCAGGCAAGUCGGA